AAUAGAUACCCCGGUAGUCCAUGCCGUAAACGAUGUCUACUAGCCGUUGGGGCCCUUGAGGCUUUAGUGGCGCAGCUAACGCGAUAAGUAGACCGCCUGGGGAGUACGGUCGCAAGACUAAAACUCAAAUGAAUUGACGGGGGCCCGCACAAGCGGUGGAGCAUGUGGUUUAAUUCGAUGCAACGCGAAGAACCUUACCUGGCCUUGACAUACAGAGAACUUUCCAGAGAUGGAUUGGUGCCUUCGGGAACUCUGAUACAGGUGCUGCAUGGCUGUCGUCAGCUCGUGUCGUGAGAUGUUGGGUUAAGUCCCGCAGCGAGCGCAACCCUUUUCCUUAUUUGCCAGCACUUCGGGUGGGAACUUUAAGGAUACUGCCAGUGACAAACUGGGGGAAGGCGGGGACGACGUCAAGUCAUCAUGGCCCUUACGGCCAGGGCUACACACGUGCUACAAUGGUCGGUACAAAGGGUUGCUACUGCGCGAGCAGAUGCUAAUCUCAAAAAGCCGAUCGUAGUCCGGAUCGCAGU
rnacentral:rRNA from 1 species